UAAGAGAAAGAGGAGCCGGUAUCAGGCUCUAUUCGCCCAUGACACCUAGCCCCGCCACACCCCCAAGGGUAUUCAGCAGUGAUCAACAUUGUAAACUAGCGUAAGCUAAAUUCAGUUACUAGCUAAAAAAACCGGUCAAUCUCGUGCCAGCCACCGCGGUUAUACGGGCAGGUUUAAAUUGAUAAAAUCGGCACAAAGCGUGGUUAGAUUAUUACCUUAAUAAAGCAAAAAUUAAGCCCGGCUGUGAUAUGCUUGCGCUUAAAAUAACUUCAAUUACGAAAGUAGCUUUAACUCUCAUUGAACCCACGAUCGCUAGGGCACAAACUGGGAUUAGAUACCCCACUAUGCCUAGCCCUAAACUUUGAUUUCUCCGCCCGGGGACUACGAGCGGCAGCUUAAAACCCAAAAGACUUGGCGGUGCCCUACACCACCUAGAGGAGCCUGUUCUAUAAUCGAUAAUCCCCGAUUCACCUCACCACCUCUUGCCAAUACCGCCUGUAUACCUCCGUCGCCAACUGACCCCUUAAGGGAAUUAGUCGGUUAAAUGGCCUUCUUCCAGUAAGUCAGGUCAAGGUGCAGCGAAUGAGGUGGGAAGAAAUGGGCUACAUUUUCUACUAGUAGACUAUACGAAAGAUCACUAUGAAAUCUGAUUGGAAGGUGGAUUUAGCAGUAAAAAGAGACUAGAGCGCUCUUUUUAAGUUGGCUCUAGGGCGCGCACACACCGCCCGUC
rnacentral:rRNA from 1 species